AACAAAGCCCAUAAAUGUUUUUUUUUUUAACAUUCUCAAUCAGUUUAUUUGGUAGAGUUUUCCCUGUGUUUACAAUAUUUAUCUGUAUUUACAAUAUUUAUCAAGUUAUCAUGUGUAAUAUCCUCAUAAAAAAUCUAAAUUCUAACAGCAACACAAUAACAACAUUCGUUAAUACCUGUACCCAUGGAUUCAUAUUUAUAUAAUUAUAUAUAUAGAAUUGCAUUCUAUAUAGAACUCAUUACCAGGAUGAAUAAAAUUUCAAAGUUUGAUAAUGAACUAAAAACUAAUACAUUAUCUUUUCCUUACAUUAUUUAUAACUACUUAUUUUAAUUUAUUUCUUUAAUUAUGCCAUCUAUCUCCUUCCCUUUCUCUAGAAGAAUUAGAUAUAGAACCAAAAGAAUGAUGGGAGUCAAUAGUGUGGAGUGGGAGCAUCCAAACACCAAGGAUGUACUUCGCCGUUCUAAAAUGUUUGUGGAAGUAAGUAGUGGAGCAUCCUAACACGGGUAAGCUCUAAUUCCUCUAUCUCUAUCUCUCUAUUGCUUUCGAUUUAGGUUUAAUGAAUUAGAAUGAACUGAGUGCAGAAUUGUUGUGUGUAUACAUUCAGUGGUUGUGGUUCUGCAUUUGUUGUGCAGAAUUGAUUUGCGAUUCUCUCGAAAACAUUGAAGUAAUAAAUUGUGAGAAGCUAAAGAGGAUGGCAAUUUGUUUUCCGUUUCUUGAAAACGGCCAGCCAUCUCCUCCCCCUUCUCUCAGAAGAAUAGAGAUAUAUCCAAAAGAAUGGUGGGAGUCAAUAGUGGAGAGCAAGCAUCCUAACACUAAGGAUGUCCUUCGUCCUUUCGUACAUUUUUGGAAGCCGGAUUUGGAUGAGAUGGAUAAGCAUCGUGUUUCAAUCUCUCUAUUUCCUUUUAAAUUAACUUUAAUGAAUUAGAGAACUGAGUGCAGAUGUCUGGAAUCAAGACGAAGAUCAGUGAAACAUUCAGAGAGCAACACCUAGUCCAAUUCAGCCACAUUCGUCCUCAUUUUGUUGUUAUCAUGCAUCCCAGCCUUAAAACUUUCUUUUCUUAUUGAUUCCUCUAUUUAAUAAGUAGGAAAAUUUUCAAUUUGUCUACUGUACUUGGUGUGGAAUUGAUUGACUCUUAUCUUUUCAAAGAUGGGGUUUUAAACGUGCAUUUGCUUUGCUUCAAAGUUUAUGGCUUUAAAUUACCUAGUGUUUUUUUAUUUAAUAAAGAUUGGAAAGAAAGCAUAUUGCCUCUUUCCAAUUCCCUAUCAUCAAAUAUUGAUCUCAAGUUUUUUCAGUGUUGAGCAUUAUUGCACUGCAAAAUGUUUGAUUGCUUCUCAUUCCUUUUUGAGAUUGGUGAUUUUGAUGGAUUUGGAAUGAAUGGUUCCUAAUCCUCACGAUGUCUUCCAAUGCGAGUAACAAAACCAUGUGUAGAGUAGCAUAUGAGCAAAUCAAAGAAUACCAUCUUUUCUCUUAUUGAUUCUUGUCAACUAACUUGAUUAACAUUGAUGCAGGUGGGUUUCCAGGUUCUAAGCAGGCGUGGAUGGGUAUAGACUUGGUCACGUAAAACUGGGAUAAUGACUUAAAAUAAUAACAGGAGAUCUGUUGGAUUGAGUUUAGUUUUUUACAAGAUAUUCUACAAGCUGUUUUCCUAUUAUUAUUAUUCUGGAGGUCAUGAUCGACAUUAAGGACUGCGAUAGCAUGGAGAGCUUGCUUUCAUCUUCUUGGUCUUGUUGAGCUUCCAUCACCAUUGCCAUCUAGUGGUAUGAUUUCUGGUCUGAAUCGCUUUGCUUGUUAUGGAUGAAACCUGGAAGAAAUUAAAGUAUACUGCUGUGACAAAAUGGAGGAUAUAAUAGCAACAUGAGAUGAAGAAGGGAUUAUGGGAG
rnacentral:lncRNA from 1 species